CCGGAAGUGAGGGAGGAGCCGGAGGAGACACAGGAACCGGCAGUGAGGGAGAUGAGGAAGACAGGGUUCCGGGGGAGGGAACUGUGGAAGCAGAAACCACGGGUCUCACAGGAGAGGCUGGAGUCUGGGGGUGGAAGCAUUCGGCAAAACAGGGACUUUGAUUUGCGGUGAAGAGGCAUCUAACACAUAGGUAGAAAGCAGACUGGAGAGGCAGGAGUCCUCCAGGUCUUGUCCAUCACCCUCUCUUCCAUCCAGGAUCGCCUGGACCAGAGGCAGCCUGGAGUCAGGGAGACAUGCCAACCGCUGGACACUGGAGAAGGCCUCCUGAGACCCAUGACUCACAUCUGCUGGAUCCAUCUGCUCCCUGAACUCUUUACAAGACCACUGCAGGGUCCUGGUGACUCUUCCUGCAACAGAAUUCUCCAGGGAGGAAAAGUGGGGUCCAGACGGAAGAAUGGGUUUGCAGCACCCCCUUCUCUCUGCAGUGUCAUCAUCUGUGGUCACGUCCACAGCUCUGGAAGGGGCGUGCAUGCCAAGUCACCUCAGUCAUACCCAUCUCUUUGUGACCCCAUGGACUGUUACCCACCAGGCUCCUCUGUCCAUGGAAUUCUCCAGGCAAGAAAUACUGGAGUGGGUUGCCAUUUCCUACUCCAGGGGAUCUUCCCAACCCAAGGAUCAAAUCCACGUCUCUUAUAUCUCCUGCAUUGGCAUCUCUGAUUCCAUCACAGUACUUUUACUUACUGAUUCAGUAUGACUAAUGAGCUAAGCAGAGACUAUUCAAACCAAAACCAAUCAGCCUCUGCACAGGUGCUUAUGAUCCAGGAGGGAGAUUGAUGUGCAUACAGACGAAGACGAGUCUGUGAGCUGUGAAGAAUGCUAUAGAUCAGGGACAAGGGAUGGGGGGAGUGGAGAAGGGCCGGGGAAUGUGGUUAGAAGCAGUGGGCUGCCGGCACUGUUUAGAAGGAUGAGGAGCGUUCUGAUGGAGCCCAGGGGAGACUGGACCCGGCUGGCUGACUACCCAGGUGUGCAAAGACAGGGACACAUGGGUGGGUCCAGCCCAGGAGAACUGACAAAUGAUUCAGUCAGGCUAAGGUGAGGUGGAAAUUGAAUCUGAAGUUUUAGGCAGUCUCCUUCAUGGAAAAGACCCUGAUGUUGGGGAAGAGUGAGGGCAGGAGAAG
ensembl:lncRNA